AUGUGAUUUGCUGGCGGCAGCUUGAUGG
rnacentral:piRNA from 1 species